GGGGUCUUAUCUACAUACCACCACAUGUGACAGCAUGCAGCUGAUCGUGAGAUCAGAGCCUUCCAUAAGGUGGGGCACCUUGUUUUGAUGCUCUGGAAUGAAAACAGCCGGUCAGAGUAACAUAUAGGCUACAGUGUUCAAAUGAAAUGUACUGAUGAGAAAACUUUGGUUAAGUUUUUUAGGCUGCCUGACUAUUUCUAGCAUUGUGGUCGACCUGGCAGGAGCACCGAUCUGGUUUCUGGGACAGGAGAUAUGCAUGGUGAGACCCAUGUGAGGGACAGUGUGGAUCUCAUGCUCCUACUCCACACUUGCACAUUGGUGUGUGCAACAUCUGGGCCACAAUGUUCAAAGGAAAUGGAUGGUUUAGAAAACUUUGAUUGAGUUUUUUUUUUUUUUUUUUUUUUAAAGCUGCCUGAAUGUUUCUAACAUUGUGGUGGACCUGACAGGAGCACAGGCCUGGUUUCUGGGAUACGAUAUAUGCAUGGUGAGACCCACAUGAUGGACAGUGUGGAUCUCAUGCUCCUACUCCACACUUGCACACGUGGUGGUGUGUACAUGAUCUAUCUUAUACAAUUGGAAUGCUAGGCAAAUCUCCGGUCUUAAAAUUUCUUGGAAUGGUUGGUUUACACCUCUCAUUUUCUGAAGAUAUUAAGGAAUAUAUGUAAAAUUCUAGGUUUUGAAGACCAUAUCGGUCUGGUUCUCUCGCAGAGUUUGCGGGUGUUCUUUCAACUGGUGAAGAAGCAUAUUUAUCAAAAUUUCAGUAUUAUUAAGAAUUCAAAGAACCUCACUGAUUUGGUAAUUUUCAGGAGCCUCUUAUUUCUAUGUUGUGUUAACGACACAAGUAUCGACUACUGGGGCAUGCAUCAAAAUUUUAAUGUUGAUGAAAAUUUCAACUCCUUUCCCUCUCUCCCUCCCAAUCUAUGUUCCAAAGAUUUCUUGAUUGUAGCUACUGAAAUUGUUAUGGUAGUUGGAUGAAUCUUCCAUAUGUUAUGAAUGUAUUGUAAGUGGGAUUAGGCCCAUGUAUGCCACCAUGACUGUAUCAAAAGUUAAUGUUUCGAAAUUUAUGGAAGCCGUUGAAUUAUUACCUUUACUGAAAGUUGCGGCCAGCAUAUAAGAACCGGCAGAUAAAGCUCAGUUUCAAAGAACGUUGUAAGAAUUUUACAUGAGUUCGCUUACAAGAGCAGAAGAUUUGUGAAGGAUCAGAGCCUCUCAUUUUUUGCAAACACUGAAUCUCCCUAUAAACACUCUCCUUCAGAGCAUCUAAGGGUUCAGGAGCCACUGUCACACUGCUGUCAACCCCGUAAGUUAAAUAUCUUGCCUCCAUAUUGCUCUUUACUAUCUUUUUCUUCUUCUGAAAUUUUCAUUAUGAUGUGCAACUAGGUAGCAUUUUUAUGAACUUGUGUAGGAAUGUGAUGUAGAUUUCACUUUGUAUAUCUUUUUUGUCAUUCACUGACUUGUUUCAUUGAUGUAAAGAACUUCCAAUUAGAGUUCUUUGAAAAGAAUUCAACCAACAUACAUCACUUAAAUUAUGUAAUUGUAGUGCUGGAAUUGGAAAAGACUUACAAUGCAUGUAGCUUCUCUUACAAUUCUGUAUCCGUCGAGUAUGGUAUAUUGAACUUGGGUAGAUAUUUAUUUA